rnacentral:misc_RNA from 1 species
GGCUGAAUGUGGUACACAGGCACGU